AUUUAUUUCACGGGAUCGCAACUGAACGUAGACGGGCCGAUUGCCUCUGUUGUCAAGGCGGCUCCGUCCGCUCGGUCCUACCUGACAAGCUGACUUCAGUAUCCUUGCUUUUUCGCACCACAGCAGAUAUGUUAUCCAACAUGGCGUCGUAGCAGUUUGCAGCCCUGUUUUCUAACGGAAAACGGCCGUUACGAGAAAGCGCGGGAUUCCAGAAAUACUGUUCAAAUCCGCCACUUCGCCGUAAAAAUAAUUAUGCAGAAUAAAUUUAUUCUGACGGUCAUCAGAUUCUGUCCAGUCUUCAGUUUGAUAUUUAGUUUUUUUGUCGUCGCUUCAACGUUAACGAUAAGCGAAGAAAUAUCACCAAUUUUCGUAUUUCUUUGCGCGCAAGUCUACGCAAAUUGGUUUUCGAUACACAGAAUUAGUCGGACAACCAUCGUAAUCGCCUCGAACUCAAACUUAUCAGCUCAGGGCGAUUCUUUCGCGGUUCAAGUCCAGACCGAUGAUUCAUCCACGAUUUGUCGCGUUCCCACAAUUAAACCACCGAUAAACAAAAACGACAAGUUUUGGUACUGCGAAAAAUGUAUUCAGUACACUUCUCGCCCCACCCGACAUUGCGUUCACUGCAAAAAAUGCUCUCAUUAUCGCGAUCACCAUUGUUUUUUGCUUGGCGGCUGCAUACUGCGGCAGAACAUGGGCAGCUUCAUUCUAAUUUGUCUCUACACUUCAUUCGCCUCAAUUUACUCCUUGAUCAUUAUCGGUUCCUACUUGUAUGAUCAUCUGGACCAUUUUUUCGGAGCUAAUUCGGGCGCCUUCCAACUCAUUUUGCACUUUUCCUUCCCGUUUGCUCUGGCGCGGUUUUUGUUGUACGGCCAAGAGUCCUGUGUUGUCUUAGUAAUGCUGUUCGAUUUACUCUUUGCUGUCUCAUCCAUCUGCCUGAUAUUCGGGCUGUGGAAAUUUCACGCUUGUCUAACUGGCCGGCAACGCUACUAUCCUCAUUCCAUCAAAAAAUACAACAUCAUCGAAAUAUUCGGGAGUUAUGGUCUCUGGAAUUUCCUCUUUCCAUUCAACGGCUUUUUCAGGGCUAAAAAAUUACACGAAACAGGCAUAUGGAAAGAAAUGUAAUCAUUUCUCAUUCUGCGUAUGAUCAUCAUUCCCCAUGUGUGAAAAAACUUUUUUUUCACUGCCGAAUCGUCGUAACAUCGAAAAAUGAUGUCUUAAGGCUGGAGAAAAAGAACGUAAAUUUUCAAAAGUUUCCUCCUAAAGUACAAGUUUUCUAUGUGGUUUCGUCUAAUAGGCCUCUCGCCACUUUGGUUGUAAUUAAUUGUGGAUUAUAUAAGAACAUUGAUGCAUAAAAUCACGUAACAAACAAAAUUGAAUAUUUUCGCCUUAAAUAUUAAUUUCAUUGUUUUCCAGUGAAAACUGUAGUGUGCAGCGAUAUAUUAUUUUUAGAGUAAUAGUGAAGUACCUACGAAUUUUCGAUAACAUGACGUAUUCUAAACCGAGGACAUGAAAGCAUGUUAUGUGAAAUUGCACAUCUGGAGCUCCAUAUUUUGGGUCAAGGAAAGAGCCCUACCAAUUUUAGCAGAAUUCGAAAUCUGGUGGUCUGAUACUUUUCUUAUGAGUGUGGAUAUCUAUGAUUUUUUUUAAAUCGAAGUUAGGACAUUGAAAGAAUAUUGUUAUUAAAUUAAAUAACAACAUUCUGUCUCUUUCUCAUAAUGUAUAUAAUAUGUAUAAUCGUUUAGUAUUACUUUGCUUCUUUGAACCUAAGUGAAAUAGAUAAAUCAAAUGUAAAUUCUAAGAACUGUAAAUAUACUAGAUUCAUAACGUUUUGCUAAG